CUGGAGACACAGCCCGUGAUAAGAACAUCCAUGAGUCUGUCAGUGCCCAGAUCAAGAAGAACUUUACCAAGAGCUAAUGGAAGCUGAGGGGGGCUGCUCCCAGAGUGAGGAUCAGAUCAAGACCCCCUGUACCCACAGCUAACCUGCAACCAGCUGCAUCUGUUCCCCCGGACACAAAGGGUGUUGCCAACCAAUGACUCUCCCACGAUAUACCUGUGGAGUCCAGAGAAACUCCCCAGUCUGGCCCAGAACACAGAGCUGUUGUACCCACUGCAUUCCUGGGUGAUAUUAUUUUGAGAGUGGGACAAAGCUUGUAAAGUGUUUUUACUCAUGCUUUUAAAAAUGUACCUCUGCUUUUUUCCCCCCAUCUCUGUGUUUCUGUACAUGAUUUUUAUAAUCGUUAUUAUCCUUUCCUGUUCACAACAUAGGACUGAGCCACUGAUGUUACCUGCAUGAUCAGAUGACAGGCAGACAGGUUCUCAUGCAUGUUGACUGGCAACAGGUGUUUUUAUAGCAUGACAAGUCUACUGCAGAACUAUACUGAACAAAAAUAUAAACGCAACCAUUUCAAAGAUUUUACUGAGUUACAGUUCAUGUGAGGAAAUCAGUCAGAUAAUCUUGGCAAAGGAGAAAUGCUCACUAACAGGGAUGUAAAACAAAUCUGUGCACAACAUUUGAGAGAAAUAAGCUUUCUGCGCAUGGACAAUUUCUGGGAUCUUUUAUUUCAGCUCAUGAAACAUGGGACCAACACAUGUUGUGUUUAUAUUUUUGUUCAGUGUAUGUGGUACCACCCAUUGUGGAAGUUUCCAUACAGCAGAUAAUGCAGCUAAUACUUCACGAGAGAUGGACUUACAUGAAGUGCUGUUCUUCAAACUAAGAAUAGGUCUCAUUUAACCCAGUUUUACUCUUGUUUAAACAACAUUCUAACCUGAUAGGGCAAUAUGAUCCUGUUGAUAAAGACUCUUUUAUGGGGAGUUUCAGCCUGGGGAUUUUAACUGGUCAAAACUUUUUCUAUUUAAGUUAAGACCAUGGGAGAUAUGAGCUCAGUUUAAGAGCACGGAAUAGAUAUGCACGAAUAGAAAGCCAAAUACAUGUUUGUGUAGAUACAACCAACCCCCUUUGGAUCACCCUUCCAUGGAUCUUUUCUUCAUUCAUAUUGGGGUUGAUUUUUCAAGCAAUUGUAUGUGUACAGAGAGAACUUGAAUGUAAAUAAUAAUCCAGUCAUCUCACUUCAUUAAAUGUCACUCACCAUAAGGUCAUGUUAAAUUGUUGAUGCAUUUCAUAACCUAUUGGACAUACAAAAGUGGGAUUUUAUGUUAUUCACUCAAGAAUACUCAUUUUACUAAAAUGUUUGUGCAUUUUACAAUUGAAUGUAUGUACAAUUGAAUGUAUGUACAGCUUGCCCUGGCAUCCUUCAGGGUGGCAUUGAAAAGUCUGACAUGGAAUAUAUACCCUAACCUGUGA